rnacentral:rRNA from 1 species
UAACGCGAAGAACCUUACCUGGGCUUGACAUGGCGGUGGUACUGAGACGAAAGUCGAGGACCCUUCGGGGAGCCGUCACAGGUGCUGCAUGGCUGUCGUCAGCUCGUGCCGUGAGGUGUUCGGNCAAGUCCCNGAAAGAGCGCAACCCCUGCCGCCAGUUACGUGUNUGGCGGNCUCGGACAAACCGGAGGAGGGUGGGGAUGNUCAAGUCAGCAUGGCCNUUAUGUCCAGGGNGACCCACCCGCUACAAUGNCAGGUACAACGGGCAGCGAAGCCGCGAGGUGGAGCGAAUCCCGCAAAGCAUGUNGUCGUUACGAUAGCAGCAUCCAACUCNCNUGCAUGAACNGANCNGACGUCA